GACAGAGAGAGAGAGAGAGAGAGACAGAGAGAGAGAGAGAGAGAGACAGAGAGAGAGAGAGAGAGAGAGAGACAGAGAGAGAGAGAGAGAGACAGAGAGAGAGAGAGAGAGAGAGACAGAGAGAGAGAGAGAGAGAGAGACAGAGAGAGAGAGAGAGAGAGACAGAGAGAGAGAGAGAGAGAGACAGAGAGAGAGAGAGAGAGAGAGACAGAGAGAGAGAGAGAGAGAGACAGAGAGAGAGAGAGAGAGAGAGACAGAGAGAGAGAGAGAGAGAGACAGAGAGAGAGAGACAGAGAGAGAGAGAGAGAGAGAGAGACAGAGAGAGAGAGAGAGAGAGACAGAGAGAGAGAGAGAGAGAGAGACAGAGAGAGAGAGAGAGAGAGAGAGAGAGAGAGAGAGAGAGAGACAGAGAGAGAGAGACAGAGAGAGAGAGAGAGAGAGAGAGAGAGAGAGAGAGAGAGAGAGAGAGAGAGAGAGAGAGAGAGAGAGAGAGAGAGAGAGAGAGAGAGAGAGAGAGAGAGAGAGAGAGAGAGGGGGGGGGAAGUGUAAGAAAUGAAAAUACUACCCACUGGGCACAGACGUCUGUUCCACGUUGGUUCAACGUAACUUAAUUGAAAUUAUGUUGAAAAAGUUGAUUCAAGCAGUGUGCUUCUACACCUGCAUUGCUUGCUAUUUGGGGUUUUAGGCUGGGUUUCUGUACAGCACUUUGAUAUAUCAGCUGAUGUAAGAAGGGCUAUAUAAAUACAUUUGAUUUGAAUUUGAUUUGUGUGACCUAGGGCCAGAAUGUGAAUACCCCAGCUGUAGUCUGACAGGUCAUAAGCUGCAGAAUGUGAAUACCCCAGCUGUAGUCUGACAGGUCAUAAGCUGCAGAAUGUGAAUACCCCAGCUGUAGUCUGACAGGUCAUAAGCUGCAGAAUGUGAAUACCCCAGCUGUAGUCUGACAGGUCAUAAGCUGCAGAAUGUGAAUACCCCAGCUGUAGUCUGACAGGUCAUAAACUGCAGAAUGUGAAUACCCCAGCUGUAGUCUGACAGGUCAUAAACUGCAGAAUGUGAAUACCCCAGCUGUAGUCUGACAGGUCAUAAACUGCAGAAUGUGAAUACCCCAGCUGUAGUCUGACAGGUCAUAAACUGCAGAAUGUGAAUACCCCAGCUGUAGUCUGACAGGUCAUAAGCUGCAGAAUGUGAAUACCCCAGCUGUAGUCUGACAGGUCAUAAACUGCAGAAUGUGAAUACCCCAGCUGUAGUCUGACAGGUCAUAAACUGCAGAAUGUGAAUACCCCAGCUGUAGUCUGACAGGUCAUAAACUGCAGAAUGUGAAUACCCCAGCUGUAGUCUGACAGGUCAUAAACUGCAGAAUGUGAAUACCCCAGCUGUAGUCUGACAGGUCAUAAACUGCAGAAUGUGAAUACCCCAGCUGUAGUCUGACAGGUCAUAAACUGCAGAAUGUGAAUACCCCAGCUGUAGUCUGACAGGUCAUAAACUGCAGAAUGUGAAUACCCCAGCUGUAGUCUGACAGGUCAUAAACUGCAGAAUGUGAAUACCCCAGCUGUAGUCUGACAGGUCAUAAACUGCAGAAUGUGAAUACCCCAGCUGUAGUCUGACAGGUCAUAAGCUGCAGAAUGUGAAUACCCCAGCUGUAGUCUGACAGGUCAUAAACUGCA